GCUAAAAAUCUAGCCUAUAAAUUUUUAAUACCUUCCAUCUCCUUAAUCAAAAUAAAUCAUUUUAUUAUUUAAGUAAAGGCGAUUGAAAAAAUUCUUAGAGCCUCAACUUUAGUACCGUAAGGGAAAGAUGAAAUAUUAAUGAAACACUCUAAGCACAAAACAGUAGAGUUUAAAGCUCGUACCUUUUGCAUCAUGGUCUAGCAAGUCCUUAUCAAGCACAAAGACAUUUUAGUUUGACUUCCCGAAACUAGGCGAGCUACUUCAAAACAACCUUUAGGGCCAACCCGUCUCUGUUGCAAAAGAGUGGGAAGAUUUUCAAGUAGAAGUGAUAAGCCAAUCGAGCCUAGCGAUAGCUGGUUAUUCAAGAAAAGAAUCUUAGUUCUACUUUAAGCUUCCUCCUGAUCCUCAACAAACUAUUAAGCUUAAAAGUUAUUCAAAUAAGGCACAGCUUAUUUGAAAAAGGCUACAACCUAAACAUUAGGGUAAGUUUAUUUUUAUCAACAAAGUUGGCCUAAAAGCAGCCAYCUUUAAGAAAGCGUUAAAGCUCCGUUAUUUACCUUAUUAAAUUCUUAACAACACAUCCAACCCAUCAUCAGUACUGAAUGAUUUCAUAAAUUAUGAAAGCCACCAUGCUAGAACUAGUAACAAGAAAGUGAAUUUCUCCAAAGUGUAAGCAAAAACCAAGAUGGACCAUCCAUUGGUAAUCAACGAUUUGAGUAAACUAUAGUAACCCACCAAGAAAACCCUAUAUACUACCCCGUUAACCUAACACAAGAACACUUAUGGAAAGAUUAAAAGGAGAAGAAGGAACUCGGCAAACUUUAGCCCCGCCUGUUUACCAAAAACAUCGCCUCUUGUUUAAGCAUAAGAGGUCCAGCCUGCCCAGUGAUAAUUUAUUCAACGGCCGCGUAAUUUAAAGCGCGCAAAGGUAGCGUAAUCACUUGUUCUUUAAAUAAGGACUAGAAUCAACGGCAUCACGAGGGCUAUACUGUCUCCUUCCCCCAAUCAGUGAAACUAAUCUCCCUGUGAAAAAGCAGGGAUACUCUUAUAAGACGAGAAGACCCCAUGGAGCUUUAAACACAGCAGCAUCUUUGAAAUCUUACAUUUAUCUUAUUAACCUGAAAGCAUUGUGUGUUAGUUUUAGGUUGGGGCGACCGCGGAGAAUAGUAAAACCUCCAUAACGAAAGGGAAUAAACCCUUAAUUAAGAAAAACAUUUCUACAAAUUAUUAACAUAACGUUUAAUGACCCGAUUAUCGAUUAACGAACCAAGUUACCCUGGGGAUAACAGCGCAAUCCAUUUUGAGAGCUCAUAUUGACAAAUGGGUUUACGACCUCGAUGUUGGAUCAGGGUAUCCCAGUGGUGCAGCCGCUACUAAAGGUUUGUUUGUUCAACAAUU
rnacentral:rRNA from 1 species